GCCUGAUCAGGUUGAAGUCAGGGGAAACCCUGAUGGAAGACCGAAGCAGUUCUGACGUGCAAAUCGAUUGUCAGAAUUGGGCAUAGGGGCGAAAGACCAAUCGAACCAUCUAGUAGCUGGUUCCCUCCGAAGUUUCCCUCAGGAUAGCUGGUGCAUAUACCGUUUCUAUAAACUUAAUAAAUCUUAUCUGGUAAAGCGAAUGAUUAGAGGCAUUAGGUUCGAAACGUUCUUAACCUAUUCUCAAACUAUAAAUGGGUACGAUAUAAGAGUUUCUUGAUUGAACUCUUAUUUCACGCUUUUUGGCGUACCAUAUCAAACAUUUAUUACAUGUUUGUAAUUUGGUUUAGAUUUAUUGUGCCCAGUGGGCCAAG
rnacentral:rRNA from 1 species